rnacentral:sRNA from 1 species
GCUGGAUGCGGUGGUGCUCGCUGUAAUCCCAGGGACUUGGGAGGCUGAGGCAGGAGGAUCACAAGUUUGAGGCCAGCCUUGGCAAAUUAAUGAGACCCUGUCUCAA